AAGCAACCAUCUGCCAGCCAAGAAGAGAGCUCUCACCAGAGCCCAACCACGCUGGCACCUUGACCCCAGACUUCCAGCCUCUAGAACUGUAAGAAAAUAAAUUUCUUCUGUUUAAAAAAAAACAAAACAAAAAAGAAUAUGAGUCAGAGAGGCUCAGGAAGAAGCCAUACUCUGCACCCUGCUAGUUAUGCGACCUCAGUAAAUCUCUAACACCAAUCAAACACAAGAAAUGAAGAUAUUCAGAAGCCAAUACCAUGAAGACAAGUUACCUAAAACUCUUGACCUAUCAUGAUGGAAGUUUGAUGGCGUGUUCAUACUCAGGGGGCUCAGCGUUCAGUUCUGAUUCCAAGACGUCCCAGAAGGCCUGGUGGACAACGUGCCUCACUCUACCGGCCAAGCUACAGGAAUGAAAUGGAUCAAUUUUAAAAUAAGCACUAUUUCUCCUGAUUAUAAAAGAAAGAUGCUUAUUGUAGAAAUCUUAGAAAAUGCAGAAAAACAGAGAAUAAAAAUUGCUCAUAAUCCUAUUAUUAAUCUUUUGAUGUAUUUGACAUAUGUUCAAUGAAUGCAUUGUUUUAAUAUAAUUGUUUUAAUACUGA